AUCCACAAUUUCACAUUUUAAUAUAUAUAACAAUAUUAAUAAAUUUCCGCUAUAUACUCUAACCCUAUCUCAUCCAACCAAUUAAAAUCCUAAUUAUUUUCUCUCCCUGCUUUCCCUAUUCUUUCCAUCCUCUCCUUCUGUCUCUGUAUACUCUCGGUCACACAUGGCCAUCGUAGCUAGAGACCACAUCGAAGAUCGUCACUGUCCCGUCCGCUCUCUCUAUCCUCCUAGUCACACAUGUCUGUAGUCGUUGGACACUGCACUGGAGAUUGUCGUUGUGAGCAGAGAGCUCCGAUCCCCUCUUCUCCCUCUUCUUUCUCUCUGUCUGUCUCUCUCUAUUCUCUCCGUCACAAUGGUCGCCAUCAUUAAUACUACAGCAGAGCUUGUCGCUGUGAGCAGUAGUCGCUUCGCACGAUUCUAGUGUCGGUGCCUCUGCGCUCGAUCCACGGUUCACAGGUACACAUAGAUCGCGGCAAUCCAUGGUUUCGCCUUUGUGCUUGAUCCGUGUUUCACCAAGUUGAAGUCAGUGGGUCAACCCAUGUAUGGGAUUUUAGUGUUUGAUAAGGCUGUGGUGGUGUAGGUAUUCCGAUCUAUGGGAGGUUAUCUAAUAUGCAGGCGACGGUUGUGUGGUGGUGGUCGUUUUGUUGUUGUUGUUUGCGGUGGUUAUGGUGAUGUUGUGUCACGGGUGGAUUUGUGUGGUGUAAGCAUUGGUUAUGUGAUAGUGUGGUUCAGGUGACAAUUACACGUUGGUGGUCAUUUUGAAGAGGUUGGACUCAGCGAGUUAGGUGAGUCCUGACUGAUGAGUUCGAAUGGGUGUAAGAGUGAAUAGAUGAGUUUUGGGCUAGGAAACUUGCACAGGGAUGUUGAAGGGAAGCAGGUGGUGGUUGGUGGCUGGCUUGGCUUAAUGUGGUAGAUGGUGGGUAGCGAUGGUGAUUUUCAUGUUGGUGAUGGUGGUGUUGGGUGGUUGUGAUGGUGUUGUUGUGGGUGUGGGUAGUGUUUGUAACCAAGUAUUGUGGUGGAAUGGGAUCGAGAUCGAGUGUUUGGUGUACGUGACCAAUUAUGUAGUUCCUUAUGACUAUUUAUUAAACUAUUACUGUAAAAUUCAAUAAUUU
rnacentral:lncRNA from 1 species